UACGGAGGGUGCAAGCGUUGUCCGGAUUUAUUGGGUUUAAAGGGUGCGUAGGCGGCUAAUUAAGUCAGUGGUGAAAUACAGCAGCUCAACUGUUGAGGUGCCAUUGAUACUGAAUAGCUUGAGUACAGAUGAGGUAGGCGGAAUUUAUGGUGUAGCGGUGAAAUGCAUAGAUCCCAUAAAGAACACCGAUUGCGAAGGCAGCUUACUAAGCUGUAACUGACGCUGAGGCACGAAAGCGUGGGGAGCGAACAGG
rnacentral:rRNA from 1 species